UAGGGAAUCUUCCACAAUGGACGCAAGUCUGAUGGAGCAACGCCGCGUGAGUGAAGAAGAUCUUCGGAUCGUAAAGCUCUGUUGUAAGAGAAGAACGUGUGUGAGAGUGGAAAGUUCACACAGUGACGGUAACUUACCAGAAAGGGACGGCUAACUACGUGCUAG
rnacentral:rRNA from 1 species